AAACACCAGAACCAGAGACUGAGAUCAGCACGAGUACAACUGAACCACCAAAAGUGACGAGAACUGAAACACCUCGACCGAAGACUGAGAUCAGCACAAGAGAAAUAAAAUCAAUCUCAACUACAGCUAAUAAAGUAAUAAGUGAUGUGGAUGGAAAGAGUUCCUUCACUGUUAUCACUGUUCAAACCACAAAAGAUCCAGAGAACAGUCGAACUACUACACCAGAGGUGGAUAUGAGAAUCACAACAGCGGCUCAGAUUAUACAGACCACACCGCCUCAUACAACAUUCAACGAACCAGGACCAGAGGUCGCAGCAUCAACCAAAGACUGCUGCUUAACAGCGACAGAAAACAGACCAGCGAUUCAUGAAACUGUGGACUACAGAGUUGAAGAAACACCAGCAGAAGACUGGGAUUACAUACAGAACCUGAACAGAAGAAAAACAACUGAACAAACAGACAAGAGAGAAUUCAUCAGAAAAACCAAAGCGCUGGAGCAGGAUCGAGUGAGAUCUACUGAAACUACAGACACACUUCAGCCGGAUGAGUUAUCUGAGGAGGAGAAACAGACAUCAGUGUCUUCAUCAUCAGAAAUAAAUGAUCCAUAUACAAUCAACAAUCAAUACUUUUGUUUAAAGAAGGAACCAGUUCAAUACUUUUGUAUCAAACAGCCUUAAAACUUCUUCUGUCUGAACAGUUUGGACAGAUUUUUAAGGCUUAUGUACUGAUGACUGAAUGACUGUGAGUGUAAUAAAUGAAUGAGGUGAUGGCAGUGAAAAUAGAGCACUUUAAGUACAUUAUGGAAGUGUACCUUUUUCACCUAUGUAUCCAGCUCUCUUAAAUAAUUAAGGAGCUACACUAAAUAUUAACAGUUAUGAACCUGUGUGAAUCACAAACACUUAAGUAAAGGAAUAAGCGUAAAAUGACUGAUUGAUGCAAAUAUGGCAUUAUUGGUGCACAUGUAAAUGUAUUAAGUAAGAGAACUAGAAACGGCAAAAAGAUCGUUCUAUUUCCUGAGUCACAGUGUUUUCUCUCUGUCUCUUUAGCUUUCUAUUUAGAUGCUGAUUUAGGCUUUAAGACGAAGAUUCGCGCUGCAAUAACUCGUAUCCGAUAAUGCUGCUUACAUGCCCUUAACCACCUAAGACCCGGGGGAAAAAUGUUUAUUUGAAUUUAGUAUUUUGUUCAUGUCAUUACAUUGUUUAGAGCAUAAGAAACAAAACAACAACAACAACAAAAAACAUUUUUGAAAAAUGAUAUUUUAUUCAUAUGUUAUGCUAUGUGCUCGUAAGUGGACACCGGGACUCAGUUGUUAAAAAAAAUAAAAUGACAUAAAACGACAUGUUUAGGCAAUAACAAUGGGAUUUCAAUAGUUCACCAAUAAAUUUUUAGGUUUUAGGACUUUUUUUUAACCAAACUUUGUUUAAAGAUGAUUCUAUGAUCUACUUUGCAUAUUAAUGUGUUCUUGGAGCAAAAUGUAAUGAAUAAAAUAAGUGUAAUAAUGGGAGUAAUAGUUGGCAACAUUUUCAUAAUAAUAUCUAAUAUUUCAUAGGAAUAUUGAUAUGUAAUUUCUUUCCCUAUUCACUUGUUGUGUCUCCUAAAAACAUGCCUGUUUGUCCUGGUGUAUGAAAUCUAUGCACUGUUUUGAAACCCCAUAACAUUUUCCUGAGAUGUUGAUUUAUAAUAAUUUAAAAAUGAGAUUUAAAUGAUAAUUACAAAAUAUUAUCAUGUUUCCAUAAGAGUGCUAAAUGUGAUCAUUCAGUCAUAUUUAAAGACCAAGGAGAAGUUGUUGUCCUGGUGAAACCUCCAAACAUUUGAUGUCUCUGAAAAGCCCUGAAUGUGCUCUUUACAGGACAUCCAGAGUCAUGUAUGGUGUCGGAGUAAUUUACUAAAAUAUACUGUCCUCGUACAAAGACAGAGGGAUCCAGGAGGUUACGUGAUUAUAAUGCGUUUAAGGCAGUACUGCGGUUUACAGGCCUGCUGCGAUAACGCUCACAGUAAACAACCACAAUCACAUUGAGUGCGGAGAUUGGCUACGCAUAUUACUUUCACUACGUUGAUGUUUGAUCAUCAUGCAAACAUUUUAUUAGAUUAGACCUGAUUAUUGGCAUUAUUGGUGCCCAUGAAAACUCAUUCAGAAAGUCUGGAGGAGGAAUAUCAUCAAAUGUUGUUGAAAUGACAAGAAAUUCUCAACAAGAAAGAGUCACAGUGUACCAGUCGACUGAUGGUAACUGUGUUCAAUGUUUGGCACAGAAAAAGCGGAAGUUCUGUAUGUUUUAAACACCACAUAUUGCAAGUAAACCAUUCAAUCACUAA